rnacentral:rRNA from 1 species
CCUACGGGAGGCAGCAGUAAGGAAUAUUGGUCAAUGGACGAAAGUCUGAACCAGCCAUGCCGCGUGAAGGAUGACGGCCCUCUGGGUUGUAAACUUCUUUUAUCUGGGACGAAAAAAGGGAAUUCUUUCUCACUUGACGGUACCAGAGGAAUAAGCACCGGCUAACUCCGUGCCAGCAGCCGCGGUAAUACGGAGGGUGCAAGCGUUAUCCGGAUUCACUGGGUUUAAAGGGAGCGUAGGUGGGCAGGUAAGUCAGUGGUGAAAUCUCCGGGCUUAACCCGGAAACUGCCAUUGAUACUAUUUGUCUUGAAUUAUCUGGAGGUAAGCGGAAUAUGUCAUGUAGCGGUGAAAUGCUUAGAUAUGACAUAGAACACCCAUUGCGAAGGCAGCUUACUACGGAUAUAUUGACACUGAGGCUCGAAAGCGUGGGGAUCAAACAGGAUUAGAUACCCUGGUAGUCCACGCCCUAAACGAUGGAUACUCGACAUCAGCGAUACACUGUUGGUGUCUGAGCGAAAGCAUUAAGUAUCCCACCUGGGAAGUACGACCGCAAGGUUGAAACUCAAAGAGUAGUAGCGUGNGAGAGCGACGACGACGACGACGGAGGAGGAGG